UGAGGAAUAUUGGGCAAUGCCCGCAAGGGUGACCCAGCAACGCCGCGUGGAGGAUGAAUGUCGUAAGAUUGUAAACUCCUGUUAGAGGGGAAGAAUAGUACCGGUUGGACCGGUAUAUGACUGUACCCUCAGAGAAAGCCCCGGCUAACUACGUGCCAGCAGCCGCGGUAAUACGUAGGGGGCAAGCGUUGUCCGGAUUUACUGGGUGUAAAGGGCGCGCAGGCGGGAUAAAAAUUCAGUGGUGAAAUCCUACAGCUUAGCUGUAGAACUGCCUUUGAUACUUUUAUUCUUGAGUUCGGGAGAGAGAGACGGAAUUCCAGGUGUAGUGGUGAAAUACGUAGAUAUCUGGAAGAACACCAGUUGCGAAGGCGGUCUCUUGGUCCGACACUGACGCUGAGGCGCGAAAGCGUGGGGAGCAAACA
rnacentral:rRNA from 1 species